ensembl:lncRNA
AAAGCAUGAGGCAGAGGUCAUUUGCUGGGCACCACUUGGAGCUGUUUCAGCAAAUAAAUCCAUCUCAGGAUUCUUGCACUCCAAACAGCAUUGCUACAAGUUAAAAUACUUAAUGAGCUCCUAUGAAAGAUGACUGUUGUGUUUCCAUCCGGAGCAGCCGAGCAGCCCAACUUAUGCCUCUGGAAGUCAGUGGAGAGAAAGCCCUGUGCACAUUCACCCCUAACUGCAGCCUGCCUCCCCUGCCAGCAGUUUCAAUGGAGCAUGGAGCAGUACCAACAAUGCAGAAAGCCAACCCACAGACUCCAAAGUGAGGCUGAGAGGAGGAAGAUGAGCGGUUCCCUCAGAGCGGCUGACGCUGCAGGAGAGCUGCAGGAGUGAUGCACGAAUCUCACAUUGAAAUGGAAGCUCUGGAUCUUGAAAGUAAUGGGGUUGUUCCACAAUUUCCCACUCUGCAAGGACAGCUCAGUACCUGGGCCUGCUGUGAUGUCAUUCCUUUUGGGAACCUUUUCAGAUGAAGUCAGUGCAGGUGACCUCCACCUCCAUCAGAACACCACCGCUGUGAUCCUGGGCUGCUGGGUUCUCAAUUGCUCGUAGCAGUUUUCCUGUCUGUCCAUCAGUAGUGCUCCGUCAGUGUGCUGAGUUACAUCUGAGCGUUGGAAUGCAGCUGAGCUGAAUAAUCCCUACAGAUAGGAAGAGGAGGUGGAUGCACUCUCCUCAGGAAGAAGAGUCCAAGAGGAUGAUAGCAACAAUCCAGCUGGGCCCGCAAGUCAACCCCAUUCCCAGAUUUAGCCGAGAACUUUGGCAGUUUUUGAGGUGCUUGGGAUUUUGCCCUGGAUCCGCAGUGUCAGGAGUGGCUGCUGCCCAGAUUUGCAAGGUGUGGUACGGCCACUGCUGAUGCCAAUAGUCAGGGAGAGAGGAAUGAAACCUGCUGAGACUUUGGGAUGAAACAAAUCGGUAUUAAUUAAAAGCAAAUGCUGUCUGUUGACUAAGAGGUUCCAAAGCAGAUGUUUGUCAAAAUCGCCAGGAGAUGGGUCAUCUGAAAGCAGAAUUUAUAAAUAAUGAGAAUGAUGUCUCUGGUUAUUUCAUGUUUUCUCAGGUCAAAACCAGGUGUCAGUCAGUGGUGGAACUAUCACAGAGUGAAACACGUCGUGCUGUUACACUGCAGGGAGCUCCAUGCCAUCAUCUCUGUGCUUGUGACCCGUGCACCCAAAGCACUGUGCACCUAUAGACCUGUGGCAGCAUUACAUGCACAGCUGGCAGCAUGCUGGGCAGGCCCUCACAUCACUCCUGCAGGCAGAGGCCGGCAGCCUCGCUCCACCAAAUGACUCUCUGCAAUUUUAUGCUCAGGUGAAUGCAUGUUGGAAUGGCAUUGGCACCUCUGGAGGUCUCCAUCCCUCUCUGGCAGCAGCACAGAGGAAUCUGGGCAGCUCACUCUGUUCUGUCCUGGGAUACAUCAGAAGGGGAUGAAGAAACGUCCAGCUGUGAUCCAAACCAGCUUUUCCAGGUGAAGCACGAGGGAGCAUUUCCUUGCUGGAAUCCAGGAGCUGGUGCUUGGUGCAACACCUGAGCUUAGCAGCUGCCCCCAGGGAGGAGUCUGCCUCCUGCCUUCAUUGAGACACUUGGCUGUUCCAAAGAGUUUCUGUUCCCAUUCGCUGCAUUUGGUUUGGGUUUGGGUUUGGGUCGGUGUUCCCCUUCCCCUGCUGGCCGCUCCCUGCAGCCCUACAGAUGCUGCUCACAACUCUGCAGCUGCCUUUCCCGAAGCUCAGCACUGUGCUCAGGCCAUCACGGAAUGACAAAUUUGGCCCCCGUGCUCAGCUUGCUUUCCCUUCCAUGUUUGGCUCUCCC